GCCUGCACCCUAUGUCCAGGGAAUAAAGCCUCAGCCAAGGCCUGGACUGUUCUCAUUGGAAGGGCUCCUCCUGGACACGCUGGUGGCUGAGGGGGCAGGAGCCUGAAGAACGUUUGGGAGGGGUUAGAGGCCUUCCUUAGAUAGCCUUCCUUGGCUAUGAUGGAGCAGUGCCUAGAAUGGGCUAUUCAACUUCCUUCUCCUCCACUGGGAGCUCCCCCUGGCCCUGAGAUGGGUCUAGUCCAUUUCUCCCACCCGGUGGCUGCUUCCCCCACUGGGGCCUUGUAAUCACCACACAGUGACUGACUCAGCCCUUCCUUCCCCUCCCAGCCCCUUCUUCCUGGAAACCAUCCACAUCAGCCCCAGCCCCCGUGGGCCCAGAGGGAGAGAACUGGAAGCCGCCUUCUCCAAGGGAAGCCUUCCGAACCCCCUGUUGAUGUCAAGUCCCCAUGUGGCACCCUCGGAGAAACCCUGGGCCACUGUCGCGUCCGCGCCACCGUCAACUGAUUCACGCGCACCGCCCCCCCCCCCCCCCACUGGACAGUGGCCUCCAGCGUCUCCCCAGAGUGCCUGCAACAUAGAUUCCCCACACGCGGCACAAGAUUUCCAACGGGAGAGGAGCGUGGACGGGACGAUUGAUUCUCCGAGCCCUCCUGCCCCUGACUCCUAGCCCUUCCACUCCCAUCCGCAGAGGUCAGGGAGGCAAUGUUCUUCGUUCUACCGGGAAAAAGAGAGAGCGGAAGAAGAUUUAAACUCAGAAGUUCUCCUCAGAAUUUACUUUUACUUCUCCAAAAGUUGUUUCCGUGUCUGAUAUCAAGUAGAAAAA